AUGGCAUGUGGGCAGAGCUGGCUUCUCCUGGUGGCUGUGUUAGGAGGGGUCCAGUGUGAGGUGCAGCUGGUGGAAUCUGGGGGAGACUUGGUGAAGCCUGGAGGGUCCCUGAGACUCUCCUGUGCAUUCUCAGGAUUCACCUUUACCAGCUAUGGGAUGAACUGGGUCCGCCAGGCUCCAGGGAAGGGCCUGGAGUGGGUGUCAGGCUUCGGUAGUGGUGAUGUUAGUACCUACUAUGCCGACUCUGUGAAGGGACGAUUCACCUUCUCCAGAGACAACAGUAAGAACACAGUCUUUCUGCAAAUGAGCCACCUGAGGGAGGAGGACACCGCCCUGUACUACUGUGUG